rnacentral:rRNA from 1 species
UACGUAGGUGGCAAGCGUUGUCCGGAAUCAUUGGGCGUAAAGCGCGCGUAGGUGGCUUAUCAGGUCUGAUGUGAAAUCUUGGGGCUCAACUCCAAGCGUGCAUCGGAAACCGGUUUGCUAGAGUCCGGGAGAGGAGAGUGGAAUUCCUGGUGUAGCGGUGAAAUGCGUAGAUAUCAGGAGGAACACCGGUUGCGAAGGCGGCUCUCUGGAACGGUACUGACGCUGAGGCGCGAAAGCUAGGGGAG